rnacentral:rRNA from 1 species
GUGACUGCGUACCUUUUGUAUAAUGGGUCAGCGACUUAUAUUCUGUAGCAAGGUUAACCGAAUAGGGGAGCCGGAGGGAAACCGAGUCUUAAUUGGGCGUUAAGUUGCAGGGUAUAGACCCGAAACCCGGUGAUCUAGCCAUGGGCAGGUUGAAGGUUGGGUAACACUAACUGGAGGACCGAACCGACUAAUGUUGAAAAAUUAGCGGAUGACCUGUGGCUGGGGGUGAAAGGCCAAUCAAACCGGGAGAUAGCUGGUUCUCCCCGAAAGCUAUUUAGGUAGCGCCUCGUGAAUUCAUCUCCGGGGGUAGAGCACUGUUUCGGCUAGGGGGCCAUCCCGGCUUACCAACCCGAUGCAAACUGCGAAUACCGGAGAAUGUUAUCACGGGAGACACACGGCGGGUGCUAACGUCCGUCGUGAAGAGGGAAACAACCCAGACCGCCAGCUAAGGUCCCAAAGUCAUGGUUAAGUGGGAAACGAUGUGGGAAGGCCCAGACAGCCAGGAUGUUGGCUUAGAAGCAGCCAUCAUUUAAAGAAAGCGUAAUAGCUCACUGGUCGAGUCGGCCUGCGCGGAAGAUGUAACGGGGCUAAACCAUGCACCGAAGCUGCGGCAGCGACGCUGAUGCGUUGUUGGGUAGGGGAGCGUUCUGUAAGCCUGCGAAGGUGGCCUGUGAGGGUUGCUGGAGGUAUCAGAAGUGCGAAUGCUGACAUAAGUAACGAUAAAGCGGGUGAAAAGCCCGCUCGCCGGAAGACCAAGGGUUCCUGUCCAACGUUAAUCGGGGCAGGGUGAGUCGACCCCUAAGGCGAGGCCGAAAGGCGUAGUCGAUGGGAAACGGGUUAAUAUUCCCGUACUUGGUGUUACUGCGAAGGGGGGACGGAGAAGGCUAUGUUGGCCGGGCGACGGUUGUCCCGGUUUAAGCGUGUAGGUGUGUGUUCCAGGUAAAUCCGGUUCACUUUAACACUGAGGCGUGAUGACGAGGCACUACGGUGCUGAAGCAACAAAUGCCCUGCUUCCAGGAAAAGCCUCUAAGCAUCAGGUAACAUCAAAUCGUACCCCAAACCGACACAGGUGGUCAGGUAGAGAAUACCAAGGCGCUUGAGAGAACUCGGGUGAAGGAACUAGGCAAAAUGGUGCCGUAACUUCGGGAGAAGGCACGCUGACACGUAGGUGAAGUGAUUUACUCAUGGAGCUGAAGUCAGUCGAAGAUACCAGCUGGCUGCAACUGUUUAUUAAAAACACAGCACUGUGCAAACACGAAAGUGGACGUAUACGGUGUGACGCCUGCCCGGUGCCGGAAGGUUAAUUGAUGGGGUCAGCGCAAGCGAAGCUCCUGAUCGAAGCCCCGGUAAACGGCGGCCGUAACUAUAACGGUCCUAAGGUAGCGAAAUUCCUUGUCGGGUAAGUUCCGACCUGCACGAAUGGCGUAAUGAUGGCCAGGCUGUCUCCACCCGAGACUCAGUGAAAUUGAACUCGCUGUGAAGAUGCAGUGUACCCGCGGCAAGACGGAAAGACCCCGUGAACCUUUACUAUAGCUUGACACUGAACAUUGAGCCUUGAUGUGUAGGAUAGGUGGGAGGCUUUGAAGUGUGGACGCCAGUCUGCAUGGAGCCGGCCUUGAAAUACCACCCUUUAAUGUUUGAUGUUCUAACGUGGACCCGUGAUCCGGGUUGCGGACAGUGUCUGGUGGGUAGUUUGACUGGGGCGGUCUCCUCCUAAAGAGUAACGGAGGAGCACGAAGGUUGGCUAAUCCUGGUCGGACAUCAGGAGGUUAGUGCAAUGGCAUAAGCCAGCUUGACUGCGAGCGUGACGGCGCGAGCAGGUGCGAAAGCAGGUCAUAGUGAUCCGGUGGUUCUGAAUGGAAGGGCCAUCGCUCAACGGAUAAAAGGUACUCCGGGGAUAACAGGCUGAUACCGCCCAAGAGUUCAUAUCGACGGCGGUGUUUGGCACCUCGAUGUCGGCUCAUCACAUCCUGGGGCUGAAGUAGGUCCCAAGGGUAUGGCUGUUCGCCAUUUAAAGUGGUACGCGAGCUGGGUUUAGAACGUCGUGAGACAGUUCGGUCCCUAUCUGCCGUGGGCGCUGGAGAACUGAGGGGGGCUGCUCCUAGUACGAGAGGACCGGAGUGGACGCAUCACUGGUGUUCGGGUUGUCAUGCCAAUGGCACUGCCCGGUAGCUAAAUGCGGAAGAGAUAAGUGCUGAAAGCAUCUAAGCACGAAACUUGCCCCGAGAUGAGUUCUCCCUGAGACUUAGAGUCUCCUGAAGGAACGUUGAAGACGACGACGUUGAUAGGCCGGGUGUGUAAGCGCAGCGAUGCGUUGAGCUAACCGGUACUAAUGAACCGUGAGGCUUAACCUU